rnacentral:lncRNA from 1 species
CCAGGGUGACCGCUCACCCCAGUAUUCUGUUGUGUCAUAUCAACAGGUCAACUGCAGUCAGUAUCCCCAAACCAAAGGGAGAGUACUGUGCACCCGGAGCUCCCAGAUGGUGUGUGGCACAGAUGGUGUGACCCACAGCAGCGAGUGUAUGCUGUGCGACCGAAUCCUGAAAACAAGAUCUGAGAUUGGUAUAAAGCAUAUAGGAGCAUGCGCUCAGAAGUAAAGGAGUUCAGACCACCAGCAAGUAUCAAAGCAGAAGCGUGACAAAGGGCAAGUCAUGGAAGAAUUGAUGUUAAGCAUCAAGGAAGUUGCUCUAAUCCUCAGUGCUGCAAAACCUGCCUUCGUCCUCCUCCUACACUCUCUAGGGGACAGUCUGGC